UUGCCGUAAAUAAAUACUUUUACGUUUUUAUCGUCGUGAACUUUAGUAGGAGACUUCGAGAAAGUCAUUCAUACUGUUUCAACGACCACACGGGCGGAAAAGUUAGCUUUGUAACUUAGCCGCAUAGCUAACAACAACAGUGGCUCGCGGCAUCUUUUCACCUGUUUUAGCGUAAAUUAGAAGCUGGAUGUUAGUUCACGUUUGUUUCUGAUGUUAGGAAACGUUUGUUGACGAUGCAAGAUCAUGGCGGUCUUAAGAGAAGGUAUGUGUCCUGGACUGGAUGCGGAUUUACUGCGUGACCUGCGUGCUGCCGAUGUUAAAACAGUGGAGGACGUGGUCUCAUCUGACAUCGAGGAACUUGCACAGAGAUGCUCUGUGUCAUAUAAGGCUCUGUUUGCCAUCCGCCGAGUACUGCUGGCCCAACACACUGCUUUCCCCGUGUCAGGCGCUGAUCUGUAUGAAGAACUAUUGAGCUCAACAGCCAUCCUCUCUACUGGAAAUCCCAGUUUAGAUAAACUGCUGGAUUCAGGCUUGUAUACUGGAGAGAUAACGGAGCUGUCAGGAGGCCCAGGAAGUGGCAAAUCUCAGGUGUGUUUCGGAGUUGCAGUGCACAUUUCUCACCGGCUGAAACAGAGUGUAAUAUUUAUUGAUACGACAGGAGGGCUGACUGCCAGCCGCUUGCUUCAAAUGCUACAAGCUGAAACAAGUAACACAGAAGAGCAGAUGGAAGCUCUUCAGAGGAUCCAUAUCUUUCAUUUGUUUAACAUCUUCUCUUUACUCGACUGUCUGUACGGUCUUUGCAGCGGUGGGCUUCAGCAGGCCUCUGUUGGCGGUGGCUCUGUCAAGGCAGUGAUCGUGGACUCGGUGUCAGCUGUUAUCUCUCCUCUACUGGGAGGCAAACAAAAUGAAGGCAUGUCCUUGAUGAUACAAGUGGCAGGAGUUCUUAAGACAAUGGCAAAGGACUUCAAUGUUGCUGCUUUGGUUACAAACCAUGUUACAAGAAGUGGCAGCGGGGAGGUGCAGCCAGGCCUCGGUGUGUCUUGGAGUCAGGUCCCCAGAACCAGGAUCCUGCUGGAGCGAUUAGAGAGGGCUGCGGCCAUCAGCCACUCCACCCUGCGCUCUGCAACACUGAUCAAAUCUUCUAGACAGCCUUGUCACAUCAAAGAAGAGUUUGACUUGCAGUGGUGGAGUCGCUCUGAAGAAGGAUCCUCUGGAAAGAGAAAACUGCAUGAGACUGAUUCCUGAUGAGAGCCAGUUAUAAUCGUAUGACCAAAGCGCAUGCCUCCAUCAUGGUGAUCAGGGACUCGGAUCGUCCAGGGGCUCUUGCUCCCCUCCUACGACAACGCCGCAGCAGUCCACUGUUUCCCCGGUGCCCGUUUGCUGGACCUCAACACACAGCUUUCAGCAGUACACGGAAAGCACGCCAACGUCAGUAUUGUGGUGGCAGCAACAGCACAGCUUACCAAUUCUCAGAACUACUGUCUGUCAGUCGCACAAGCUUUGACUUCAUCCAUCCAUCCAUCCAUCCAUCUAUUUUCGUCCGGCUUAUCCGUGGCCAGGUCGCACACCAGAUGUCCCUGUCCCCAGCAACGCUUUCCAGUUCCUGGGGGGACCCCAAGGCUUUCCCGGGCCUACCAGUAGGACUUGCCUGGAACACCUCCAACGGGAGGCGCCCAGGAGGCAUCCUGAUCAGAUGCCCGAACCACCUCGACUGGCCUCUUUCCACACAAAGGAGCAGCAGCUCUACUCCAAGCUCCUUCUGGAUGUCCGAGCUCCUCACCCUGAGCCCAGCCACCCUACGGGGGAAUCUCAUUUCAGCUGCUUGUAUCCGCUAUCUCAUUCUUUUGGUCACUACCCAGAGCUCAUGACCAUAGGUGAGGGUUAGAACAUAGAUGGACCGGUAAAUCGAGAGCUUUGCCUUCCAGCUCAACUCCUUCUUCACCACAGAAGUCAGACCCAACUCCCGCAUCACUGCGGAUGCUGCACCAAACUGCCUGUCCAUCUCACGCACCGUUCUACCCUCACUCAUGAAAAAGACCCUGAGAUACUUGAAAUCCUUUGCUUGAGGCAGCAACUCACUCCCUACCCAGAAAUCCCGACUCAGAUCUGGAGGUGCUGACAGGCAUCCUGACCGUCUCACACUCAGCUGCAAUCCACCCCAGUGCAUGCUAGAGGUCACGGUGUGAUAAAGUCAACAGAACCACAUCAUCUGCAAAAAGCAGAGAUGCAAUUCUAAAGUCCCCAAACUGGACCCCUUCUUCCCCCCAGGUGCGCCUUGAGAUCCUGUCCAUGAAAAUUACAAACAGGAUCGGAGACAAGGGACAACCCUGGUGGAGGCCAACAUCAACUCGAAACAUGUUUGACUUCACGCCGAGUAUGCGGACACAGUUCUCACUUUGGUUAUACAGGAACCAUUUGGCUCGCAGAAGCGACCCCGGCACCCGGGGUACCCUUGCUAGGGUAAAGAGCUACAAUAGAUUAUCUUUUAAAUCCAAAAUUAAAUAACAGUAUUGCGCUUCCGGCCUCUAAAUGGGAAGAGUUUGCUGCCUACUUCAGAAAGAAAAUUAUCAACAUAAGGUCUGGCGUCUGCCAGCAAAACACGCCCAUUGCACCUUUAUCUGUACCCUGUUUACAAUGUGACGCAAAGUAUGAAUGCUUUGACCUGGUUGAUGCUGAGACUCUGAUCUCAUCCCAACUUCUCUUUUUAAAACCAUUUUUAAUUCUUUAUCUGAAGACACCCUUGCCAUAGUUACUAUACUCUCUACUGCUGGGCGUCUUCCCCAAUUAUUUUAAAACAGCUUUAGUUGAACCUCUUAAAAAAAGGAACUAUAUAUUUUAUCAUUAAGCAAUCAUAGACCAAUUUCAAAUCUCCCAUUUUGAGUACAGUUUUUAGAGAAAUAAAUUUUGGCGUUUGUUGGCCCGUCUGGAAUGGCCUGUUUUAAAUUGGUUCAGUUUAUAUCAUUGUGGAAGAAAGUUUUUAGAUAAUCCCUGCUCCAAACAAUAUGAGGUUACCUGUUGUGUACCACAAGAAUCUAUUGUAGGACCUUUACUUUUUAAUCUAUAUAUGCUACUGCUGGGCAGUGUCAUCAGGAGGCAUGGCAUUUCUUUCCACAGCUAUGCUGAUGACACUCAGCUCUAUGUGGCUGUGUCUCCUGAUGACACUGGGCCGAUUAAAUCACUUUUUAACUGUAACUUUUUACAACUCAACCAUGGCAAAGCAGAAGUACCAGUCAUGGAUCGAAGGCUCAGAGAGAGAAACUUGCCUCCAAACUAAACAUACUUGUACUAAACCCAAGUCAAGAAGCAAGAAAUGUAGGGGUCAUAUUUGAUUCAGAUUUUAAUUUUAAACCCCACAUUCUUAGUAUUACAAAAACAGUAUUUUAUCAUUUAAAACAGUAUUUCCAAAGUCAGGCUGUUUCUCUCUUUGAGCAACACAGAGAAACUAAUGCGUGCUUUUAUAACCAGCAGGCUGGACUACUGUAAUGCUCUCCUUUCUGGUCUACCAAAGAACACAAUCAAUCAGCUGCAGCUAAUUCAGAACUCUGCAACACAAGUUUUGACUAAGACAAGAAAGAGAGCACACCUUACGACUAUUUUAAAAGCUAUACAGUGGUUGCCUGUUAGUUUUCAGAUAAAUUUUACUUUUUUUUAAUUGUAAAGUUCUUUUAUUAGUUUAUAAGGCACUACAUGGCCUUGCACUGGACUACAUUUACGCACAAGGAAGGCCCCUCAGAUCCUCCGACUCCAAAAGAACAGCCCGCCGGAGAAUCUCAGAGGAGCUGCAAAUGUUGAUACUUUUAAACAUAAACUAUCUUUUUAGUCUGGCUUUUAUGUAGUGUCUUACUAUUUUAUGGUUUUUAC